GAUGAACGCUGGCGGCGUGCCUAAUACAUGCAAGUCGAGCGAACGGACGAGAAGCUUGCUUCUCUGAUGUUAGCGGCGGACGGGUGAGUAACAGGUGGAUAACCUAGCUAUAAGACUGGGAUAAGUUCGGGAAACCGGAGUUAAUACCGGGUAAUAUUUUGAACCGCAUGGUUCAAAAGUGAAAGACGGUCUUGGUGUCACUUAUAGAUGGAACCGCGCUGCAUUAGCUAGUUGGUAAGGUAACGGCUUACCAAGGCAAGAAUGCAUAGCCGACCGGGGAGGGUGAUCGGCCACACUGGAACUGAGACACGGUCCAGACUCCUACGGGAGGCAGCAGUAGGGAAUCUUCCGCAAUGGGCGAAAGCCUGACGGAGCAACGCCGCGUGAGUGAUGAAGGUCUUCGGAUCGUAAAACUCUGUUAUUAGGGAAGAACAUAUGUGUAAGUAACUGUGCACAUCUUGACGGUACCUAAUCAGAAAGCCACGGCUAACUGCGUG
rnacentral:rRNA from 1 species